GGAAUCUUCGGCAAUGGGGGCAACCCUGACCGAGCAACGCCGCGUGAGUGAAGAAGGUUUUCGGAUCGUAAAGCUCUGUUGUAAGAGAAGAACGUGUGUGAGAGUGGAAAGUUCACACAGUGACGGUAACUUACCAGAAAGGGACGGCUAACUACGUGCCAC
rnacentral:rRNA from 1 species